rnacentral:rRNA from 1 species
UACGGAGGGGGCUAGCGUUGUUCGGAAUUACUGGGCGUAAAGCGCACGUAGGCGGACCAGCAAGUUAGGGGUGAAAUCCCGGGGCUCAACCCCGGAACUGCCUUUAAAACUGUUGGUCUGGAGGUCGAGAGAGGUGAGUGGAAUUCCGAGUGUAGAGGUGAAAUUCGUAGAUAUUCGGAGGAACACCAGUGGCGAAGGCGGCUCACUGGCCCGGUACUGACGCUGAGGUGCGAAAGCGUGGGGAGCAAACAGG